rnacentral:rRNA from 1 species
GCAGCAGCCGCGGGAAUACGAAGGGUGCAAGCGUUACUCGGAAUUACUGGGCGUAAAGCGUGCGUAGGUGGUGGUUUAAGUCCGUUGUGAAAGCCCUGGGCUCAACCUGGGAAUUGCAGUGGAUACUGGGUCACUAGAGUGUGGUAGAGGAUAGUGGAAUUUCCGGUGUAGCAGUGAAAUGCGUAGAGAUCGGAAGGAACAUCUGUGGCGAAGGCGACUAUCUGGGCCAACACUGACACUGAGGCACGAAAGCGUGGGGAGCAAACAGGAUUAGAGACCCCCGUAGUCCCUGUCUCUUAUAC